rnacentral:rRNA from 1 species
CCUACGGGAGGCAGCAGUAGGGAAUUUUCCACAAUGGGCGAAAGCCUGAUGGAGCAACGCCGCGUGGGUGAAGAAGGUCUUCGGAUCGUAAAACCCUGUUGUUAGAGAAGAAAGUGCGUGAGAGUAACUGUUCACGUUUCGACGGUAUCUAACCAGAAAGCCACGGCUAACUACGUGCCAGCAGCCGCGGUAAUACGUAGGUGGCAAGCGUUAUCCGGAGUUAUUGGGCGUAAAGGGAACGCAGGCGGUCUUUUAAGUCUGAUGUGAAAGCCCUCGGCUUAACCGGAGUAGUGCAUUGGAAACUGGGAGACUGGAGUGCAGAAGAGGAGAGUGGAACGCCAUGUGUAGCGGUGAAAUGCGUAGAUAUAUGGAAGAACACCAGUGGCGAAAGCGGCUCUCUGGUCUGUAACUGACGCUGAGGUUCGAAAGCGUGGGUAGCAAACAGGAUUAGAUACCCCUGUAGUC